rnacentral:rRNA from 1 species
GAUGAACGCUGGCGGCGUGCUUAACACAUGCAAGUCGAGCGGGCAAUUUAUCUAGCACUGAUUACUUCAAAUGGAAAUCAUAAGUGUAAUCAUGAAUUUCUACCUUUAAUAAAGAAAAAAGAAAUUCAUGUACGCAAAUAGUGAUAACACAUUUUAGUGAAGUGAUGAGUGCUGGAUAAAUUGCUAGCGGCGGACGGGUGCGUAACACGUGGGUAACCUGCCCCUAUCACUGGGAUAACACACUGAAAAGUGUGCUAAUACCAGAUAAUAUAAGCUUUUGGCAUCAUUAGCUUAUCAAAGAAUUUCGGAUAGGGAUGGGCCCGCGUCUGAUUAGCUUGUUGGUGAGGUAACGGCUCACCAAGGCAACGAUCAGUAGCCGACCUGAGAGGGUGAUCGGCCACACUGGAACUGAGACACGGUCCAGACUCCUACGGGAGGCAGCAGUGGGGAAUAUUGCACA